GCGGAGCGGAGCAGCCUGGGAGAGCGGGCGGGGCCUGCCGGCGCCCUGCCCUCGGCCCGCUCUGUGCACCCGCCGCCCCUCACCUGGCCGCCGCGGCCUGCGGAGCGGGGUUGGCGGGGGCACUGCACGACCGUCCGCCUCCGGGCUCGCGAGGCGCCGAGGAGACGGUUCAUAACAGCUCCUCACUGCUGCGGUGGCGGCCCCGCGAGCGGCGGGCGGGCUGGCGGGCGGGCCCCGCGGCGAAGCGGGGCGUGAAGGAAUGCGACGGGCAGCUGCCGCGGGGCCCCGGGGGGCGGGUCGCGGGGCCGGUGGCUGGUUUCAGCCGGUCUCCGAGUUAUCUGCUGCGGUUAAUUUUUUGCCUGUAUCAUUUUUGUGCCUUCGUAUGCUUUUUUUUUUUUUUUUAAUCCCCUGCGGGUUAUGUACUUGCUCACCUCCUUCCUCCACUUACUUUCCAGUUUCCACCGGCGUUUCUUUGUGAGAGCGUUUGCAGUCCUCCAGAACCGGGGUGUGGGGGGGGAAGUGCUAUGCAUCUGCAACGAUUUAAACAUCUCCAGUAAUACCAUCCUUUGCAUUAGCUGUGUGGAAGAGUCAUGUUCUCUCUUUUCUUUCUUUUUUCCUUCCUUUGAGUUUUAUCUUGUACAUCUUCGUUAUUUUUCAGGUUUUAUAGGGCGGUUUGAACGCUUUAUUUUCUGCCGGAAAAGUCAAACUCUACCAAAAUACAGCAUUUUGCCAGUCUAGAAAAAAAAUUGUUUUUACUGAUGCUGGGAAUCUCAGAGGUUAAAGGGUUUGCCAAAGAAGUACGAUGGGCACAAGAGAAGAAUGCCUCCCAACAACCUGAGACUUGCACGCAGACUGCAGAUCUACUGCUGCAGUCUUUAAACUUGAAGAGCUGACAACUUUUCUGGCUUGUUUGAAUCGGCAAAACUUUUAACAUGUGAAAAGGAAAGAAUAUGCAUUCCUGCUCCAACCCCCUGCCUCCCUCCGCAGCAGCAGAGAUGACAAAUGAUCUUUCUGGCAACAACAUCAACUGCCUACAUUGGAAAUAAACAAUGUUUUGACAGCAAAUGAGUAUCAGUGUAGACACAAGCCUGCAUUCCAUGCUUGUAUGAAGCUGAACACAAGGCCUUGCAUGCUGCUGGAGGCAAAACUUCGAAAAAGGAAGACAAAAUGCCAACAAUGUUAACCAGAAGAAAGAAAAAAGCCCAGGAAACAUAACUAUUUUAAUAACUGUGCAAGUCCAAUACAUACUGCAAUUGCAGUUAUGUUUCAUUUCUUUGACUCAACCCUGAAAAGGAGAAAGGGCAGUAAUGUUGAAAGCACUACCGAAGGUCUAAUUAUUGUCUAAUGAUAUAAAUACUGUUGCUGAUAAUUACACUUAAUUAAAUUAUUAACUAGGUGUUGACUAAUUAACUAGGGCUUUGUAAAUGUGAAGCACUCUUAAUAGCUAUUAUUAUUGUACUGCUUAUAACUAAAUAUCUUUGCUACCGCAUGUGUACACAGGCUUCUGCUGCAAUCUCUGUGAACUGAUAUCCCAGUUAUGCCAUUGCCACUCAUUGCUCAUAAAAUGUACAAAGCUAUAUGCAAUGUUAUUUCCCUUAAAGAACUGUAAAAAAGAUAAAUGAUAUCCAAUGAGCUGAGAACAUGACAUCAGAUCCAGUUGUUUGAUUCCCUCGGUAGGUAAUUGCGUACAUUCCCAUGUGAGUGCAUAUUUUUUUUAUCUGCCUUCUUUUAACUCUGUAUGGAAAUUGAGACUUUCAAAUAUUUCAAUAAUAGCAUGAAAUGGAGUAUUUUAAUGGCCUUUUGUUUUUAUGAACUGCUUGAUAUGAGCCAAAUCUCAAACUGCUUAAGUCAAUAAAAGAUUGCCAUUGACUCCAGCGGACUAUUGGAGAGACCUUACAUUCAAAAGAAUAAAAUGUUGAGAUCA